ensembl:lncRNA
GUUUAUAGAAGGGCGACAGACAUAUUUUCAGGUUGACGGAUAGUUAGCUGGAGUGGAAAUCUGUUGUACCCUACUGUGAGUAGGAGGAGACGGACGUCUUGCUGGCGUGUCAGAGAGGUCCCUUCUGCUGGUCUUGCUGAAGUUAUGUGUUCACGUGGGAGCACGUGGCGAGGAUGACUGUGAGUGCUGCUGCCGCGGCCUGCUGGUAGCCUUGACCCAGUUCCCCCGCUAUCCCCUUGAACUGCCUGGAGGUAUCCACCCGGUUCUUAAAAGAUGGAUGCUGGUUGGUUGGAUCCAGCUGCUCAUCUCUGUACAAAAGCACAUAUUUAUCUCCCAGGUCACUGAUUGGUCAGAUGUUCAGGUUCAAGCUCAGCUGAACGCAGCAUGAAGGUGUCACCCGCCCUCUUCCUCUGAGCACCAGCUUUCUAUUGGUUCAAACACAAUGGCCUCAGACAUCAUUGGUUCAAAAAGCUGAGGGGAAAAGUCCGA